UGCGUAGGCGGUUUGGUAAGUUGGAUGUGAAAUACCCGGGCUUAACUUGGGGGCUGCAUCCAAUACUGUCGGACUUGAGUGCAGGAGAGGAAAGCGGAAUUCCUAGUGUAGCGGUGAAAUGCGUAGAUAUUAGGAGGAACACCAGUGGCGAAGGCGGCUCACUGGACUGUAACUGACACUGAGGCUCGAAAGCGCGGGUAGCAAACA
rnacentral:rRNA from 1 species